GCUCGAGAUGGGUCUCCGGCCUAUCAGGUAGUAGGGGAUUUUCACGGACCCCCUAGCCAUAGACGGGUACGGGCUUUGGAAGAAGUCGCCCGAAGAUGGAUUCUGAGACACGAAUCCAGGUCCUACGGGACGCAGCAGGCGCGAAACCUCCACAAUGUGGGCAACCACGAUGGGGGAACUCCAAGUGUCUACACUAUGUGUAGUCUGUUCUCGAGCCUAAAAAGCUCGAGAGGUAAGGGCCGGGUAAGACGGGUGCCAGCCGCCGCGGUAAUACCCGCGGCCCGAGUGGUGCUCAUUAUUAUUGAGCCUAAAGCGUCCGUAGCUGGCCGGGCAAAUCUCCGGGUAAAUCGGGCCGCCCAACGGUCCGAACGCCGGAGACACUGCUCGGCUUGGGAUCGGGAGAGGGUGAAGGUACUCCCGGAGUAGGGGUAAAAUCCUGUAAUCCGGGGGGGACCACCAGCGGCGAAGGCGUUCACCUAGAACGAAUCCGACAGUGAGGGACGAAGCCCUAGGGCGCAAACGGGAUUAGAUACCCCGGUAGUCUAGGGUGUAGACUCUGCAGACUUGGUGUUGGGGGUCCUGCGUGGGCUCCCAGUGCCGGAGUGAAGAUGUUAAGUCUGCCGCUUGGGGAGUACGGUCGCAAGACUGAAACUUAAAGGAAUUGGCGGGGGAGCACAAGGGCGAAUUCCAGCACACUGGCGGCCGUUACUAGUGGAUCCGAGCUCGGUACCAAGCUUGGC
rnacentral:rRNA from 1 species